AAGGCAGAAGCCCUAAGCUUGCCCAACUGGGCAGAGGGAUCCUCCUCCAGUCGUCGCUGGGAACAAUUUUGAUCUGAUCAGAGCAGCUUGCUUGAAGAUAAACUGAGGGACUUGCCAUAGAGAAUUUAGCGAUCCAACAUACCUAGAAACUUGAACAAAUGGAGACAGCUGGAAAACACUCAGUGGGAGAAUGAGCCUCUUCAUAAGAAAUUCUGUAAAGCUUUGUAACUGAAUCCAAGUGCCUUCUAGCUUAAGCAGAAAGGAGCUAGUGGGUAAGCACUAUAAUCAACUGCAAGGGCCUCUUUUCCAGUUUCAAUGAAUUGAAUUAAUGUUUGUUAUAUCAUUGCUAGUUACUUACUAAGUGUUCUAGAUUGCCUCUGUGUUUUCAUCUGGGUAACGUUUUUCAUGAGUGUGCAAAGAACCUGGUUUAAAAUAAGUUAUGUGCUGAAAUUAAAUAUAUUAAUAUAAAAAACAAUAAAUUAUAUUAAUUUUUGAAAUAAACCCUGCCCAUACUGCUACACAACAUCAAAAGUCGUUUGCUGACUGUAGGCUACAAUGAAAUGGAAUUAAAAUGUUUGAGGUGAGAAUGCUGACUACUCACACUCUGAAUGAAGUCUAGGUUCCUGUUGCUGACUCUGGUCAUUACCAGCAGUUCAGAACAGAAAUUUGUCAUGAACUCUGUUCCACUCUUCAUUGCUUUAGUACUGAAGAGAUAUUUGCCUGCUCAAAAGUGAAGCAACAGGAUGAACCAGUCUACAUUUCUGACUUGACCCUUAAACAAUAGAAAUAUUCCUUUAGAUAAAUGCAAUCUUUAUCAUUAAUAUACUAUACAGGAAAAUCCUUACUGACUGUAAAAGCAAGGCAGCACACAAAGCCAUUUCCCUGGGACUAGGAAUUAUUUGCUAAAGUGUUACAUUGAGAAAUAUCUCUGAUAAGACCAUUUUAUCCUGACACUAGUUUUCUUUUAGCUAAGGCUGUAUUUUCAGUCUCCUCUUUCUCAGGUCCCUCUCACAGAGUAAAUUAGCUCCAACCUAUCUUUACUGUUUCUAGUACAUGAGCCAACUUGAUAAGUGUGCUCAGUACCUCUACACUACUUUUCAGUCUAUGCUUGAGUCAGCAAGAGCUAUUCAGACUUUUCCCUGCAGGACUGACUCCUGUUAAAUGUAGUCAGUGUUUCAGUAGUGUUUUUUGUCUCCAACGGUUGCAGGAUCAAGACAUCAGCUCACAAAAGAGCAGGUGGAAAAACUCAUUAUGGAAUAAAAGAAAGAACUGAAAUAAAAUAAUAUUUUAACCCAUCUU